CAGCAGCCGCGGUAAUCCGUAGGUGGCAAGCGUUGUCCGGAAUUAUUGGGCGUAAAGGGCUCGCAGGCGGUUUCUUAAGUCUGAUGUGAAAGCCCCCGGCUCAACCGGGGAGGGUCAUUGGAAACUGGGAAACUUGAGUGCAGAAGAGGAGAGUGGAAUUCCACGUGUAGCGGUGAAAUGCGUAGAGAUGUGGAGGAACACCAGUGGCGAAGGCGACUCUCUGGUCUGUAACUGACGCUGAGGAGCGAAAGCGUGGGGAGCGAACAGGAUUAGAUACCCGCGUAGUCCCUGUCUCUUAUAC
rnacentral:rRNA from 1 species